UAUGAUCAGUUUAUGGCUUUGCGUUAGGUUUCUUUGUUACCGUUUUCAAUCUUUCCAACUCCGAAUUCAAAUUCUUUCUAAUUCUAACUGAUCAUCGAAUCGAUUCAACCCUAGUAAGAAACCCACAAUGUCUCAUUGCCUCCAAUCUUUCGUUCGACCCAAUUUCUUCUCUAUUAGCGAAACUGAUUCGUUCUUCCUGAAUCUUGAUUAUUCGAACCCUAAUUUUUUUUUGGAAGAUCAUGUAUCGUCAUUUUCGGGUUUCAUGUUUCUGAACCCUAAAAAUCUUGAUUCGAUUUGAAAUUGAAAUGUAGAAAUCGAAAAGAAUUAAACGACGACGUUGGAUUCACUUCACUCUCAAUCCAAAUUGUAAAGGAACCUGUUGCUCUGAGACUCACAUCCACUGGUAAAGUCACCAGAUACUGGAAGACAUUACCCUUCACAAUGAUAGAAGAUAUAGUCAAGCUGUUAAAAAUAUAGAAUUUGACCAACAUCUUGGGCCUUACAAUCAUAGCGACUAUGAAGAUUGGAAGCGAUUAUCUAAUUUCGUUACAAAGAGCAUCAUCGAAUGGCUUGAGCCCAUCAGAGGAGAAAUCAGUGUGGAUUGCGAAAAUGAUAUGUUUAGAAACACUCCAAAACAUCAAUGGAGGAAGCACCAGACAAGCAAGCAGCUAAAGGUUCGUAAUUCUGCAACGUCUAUUGGCACAAACCAGAGAAAAGGAUGUUAUUAUACCUCGACUCCACGAGUUGUAAAACGCAAGGAGAUCAGUGAAUAGGAACUUCUUUGAAUCAUGACAAGAUAUGUGCUCAUGUUUUAUGUUGGACUUCUCUGACACAAUUGCUAGAAACUCUUGUGGAAAAAAUUAUGGAGGUUCCGAAAACUUGCUCCUUGGAGAACUACAGUUUGCAUUAAUUGCCUUUUUGAUGGGUCAGUCGUUAGAAGCAUUUCUCCAGUGGAAAUCCUUGCUUAGCCUUCUGUUUGGCUGCACUGAAGCAUACGUAGGAUUUCUGUAAACUCUAAUUUAGAGAAGAAAGCACCAGAUUAUGUUGCUCAAAAGGCAUAAUCUCAGGAGCCCUUUCUGCACAAGGUACAUCUUAUAUUACAAUGAAGUGAUAAAUGUUAAUGUACAACUCUUCAAAGAAUUUGAGAAAGAUGUUAUUAUGUUUAUUACGUAUCGAGUCUUAUUUGUUGUUCAAAUGUAUAAAUCAGUUGCUAUUUGCUUGAUGGAGGUUGUAACAUAUAAAAAAUAGUAGGAAAUAUUGCUCAUCUAUUGUCAAUACCACUGGAUGUGUUCGUAUUUAGUCGACAGAAACUAUUAGAUGGCUCUUUCACUUUAAUAGUGACUUGUUUUCUGAAUUUGCAUAACAUCUUUCUAUUCAGAGCUUGCCUAACCUAUGUGGGUUUCGAGGUUUUAAACAUAAUUGUUUGAUUGAGACAUGGAUUAUUAACCCAUAUUUAGACUGGUUUGCAUAGGGUAAAUUGACGUAAAGUGCGAAGGUAUAAAGGAGAAAAAGACUUGAGAAGAAGGGGAAGUUCUAGUUGGCGGGUGAUAUAGAAUCUGACUAAGCAAGAGAAGACUCUUAGCUUGCAGAAGGAUAGAAAUUGAGAGAGACUUGAGAUAGUAAAUAGAGGCUAAACAUCAACAAUACACUGUUUACGUUGAUGGGUGUUAAGAAAAGGCCUAAAUUCACGCCUAAUUUGUUUGAGGCUUUUAUUUAUUUAUUUUUUUAACUACAAUUCAACAAAUGACUAAUUUAUCGCAAAAGGUUCAAUAUGGAAUUAUUGCUGAUCCAAAUGCAAUGGUGGAAGAUUUGGGUGAAUGGAAGGAGGGGCAAUGGCUUUUGGUUCAGAAGUGACCGAGGGAAUUAAUGCAGUAGGUGUAUGUAUGCCUUUUUUUUCCACAAGGCAUGCACAGUUAUAAAUAAAUUUUUAUUUGUUACUGAAUUGACCAUGUAUGACGUAAUAAAUGUGUUGC